CAGUGCAUUGGUAGCUGUUAAGCCAAGGGCGGUAGCGUU
rfam:Raoultella ornithinolytica strain S12, complete genome.